UGGGGACUAGAUCUCCUUGAAGGGUCGUUCGAGACCAGGACGUUGAUAGGUCAGGUGUGUAAGCGCAGUAAUGCGUUCAGCUAACUGAUACUAAUUGCCCGUAAGGCUUGAUCCU
rnacentral:rRNA from 1 species